rnacentral:rRNA from 1 species
UGGGGAAUCUUGCGCAAUGGGCGAAAGCCUGACGCAGCGACGCCGCGUGAGCGAUGAAGGCCUUCGGGUUGUAAAGCUCUGUGGGGAGGGAAGAAUAAGUCUUGGCUAAUAUCCAAGAUGAUGACGGUACCUCCUUAGCAAGCACCGGCUAACUCUGUGCCAGCAGCCGCGGUAAGACAGAGGGUGCAAACGUUGUUCGGAAUUACUGGGCGUAAAGCGCGUGUAGGCGGCUAAGUAAGUCGGGCGUGAAAUCCCACGGCUCAACCGUGGAAGUGCACUCGAAACUGCAUAGCUAGAGUCCUGGAGAGGAAGGUGGAAUGCUUGGUGUAGAGGUGAAAUUCGUAGAUAUCAAGCGGAACACCGGUGGCGAAGGCGGCCUUCUGGACAGUGACUGACGCUGAGACGCGAAAGCGUGGGGAGCAAACAG